CAGUAGCCACGGUAAAACGAAGGGGGCUAGCGUUGCUCGGAAUGACUGGGCGUAAAGGGCGCGUAGGCGGAUUGUUUAGUUAGGCGUGAAAUUCCUGGGCUUAACCUGGGGACUGCGCUUAAUACAGGCAGUCUAGAGUGAGGAAGAGGGUUGUGGAAUUCCCAGUGUAGAGGUGAAAUUCGUAGAUAUUGGGAAGAACACCGGUGGCGAAGGCGGCAACCUGGUCCUUGACUGACGCUGAGGCGCGAAAGCGUGGGGAGCAAACAGGAUUAGAUACCCCCGUAGUCCCUGUCUCUUAUAC
rnacentral:rRNA from 1 species